AAGGAGGCACUGUUAGGAAGGCAAGACUUGUCAUCAACACAACCCAACAACUUUCGUCACUUUCUGCCUGCCUGGGUCUGUCUCUCUAGUAUCCUCGAGCCUGCAGUACCACGACCAUAGAGUGCUAUCCUGCUAGCACAGCAUCUCUCCGCCUACUGUGCACCAGUAAACUACAUGGUGGCAGCAGCAGCAGCAUUAUCAACACUGGUAGUGGUGGUGUAAGUGGCUGGCCUCCCUGACCCCAGGACCAAGAACCAUGCGAGAGGAACACGAGGAGGAGCGUGAGGUGCUGGAGUCCAUCUAUGAGGGAGAUGACAACUUCUCUAUGAUCAGCCAGUCAACUUUUCAAUACAAAUAUGGCGAGGCAGGAAACAACAAAUCCUUCCUUGUGGAGAUCAGCUGGGGUCCAGAAUACCCUGAUCAGAUACCCACCAUCAACUUGGACCUUUUCUACAAUAAACACUUAUUACCAUCAGUGAAGGAAAAAAUCACCGAAGAGCUGCAGAAACAAGCCGAGAUCAACGUCGGCAUGAGCAUGACUUUCACUUUGUUUGAGUGGCUGAAAGAAGCAAAGGAUGAACUACUGGAAAGUCAGCCCGAAGAAGCCUCCCUGCCAUCCGUCUCUGAAGUUAUCACGGAUUUGGGGAGGAUAGCAGUGGAAGACUCAGCAACGGGGAAAAAAGAGAAGAAGGAACAGUUAACAAAAGCUCAGAAGCGCAGGAUGUGGGACCGCCAGAAUGCUGCUGGGGAGCGAGCACGUGGCUACAACUGGGUGGACAUCAUCAAGCACCUCUCUCAGACUGGCAACCCAAAGAAUGAUGGAUAGCACCACCAUCACCAAUGGAUGGACAGCACCACCACCACCUGUGAAGUCCAUCUCACACCACCAUUCUUGCUGACUCAAUGCUUUAUCUUGGUCCAUCCAUACAAAGUUGAUGGGGUGAGGUGAUUUCUGAGAAAGAAAUAUAAAAGCAUGAGAUGACACUAACAGCCAAUUUGUGGAAGGUGAGUACACACCACUGGCAUUUCUUGAGAUCCUAUGCCACCCAAGACUGUAAACUGUCAUGUUGUACUUGAAAUACACAAGAACUUUUGUUGAUAAUCUCUCAUUGCAUUGGUUUUGUAAGACUAAAGAAACAAUCCACAUGAGCUUAUUUCCCUUGACAAUAUAAUUAAAAUGUUUAAAAUGAACAUUCAAAAGGUACUUUCAAAUUGCUGCAUUAAAAUAUAUAUAUAUAUAUAUCAAAACACAAACCCACAGGAUGUCCCCCCACAGUAUGUUUACAAACCACAGUCAUUCCCAACAGCCUCUCCCUAUGUAUGUCAUUCUCUCAAUCUCUCAUCAAAGCUGUUCCUACUCACUGCAUCUCCAGGAAGACCCCAAGAUUUGCCACUGAUUAUAUAGGGUUCUGGUUUCGAGGCUGGAAUAACUUGUUUGCCUUGGUGCCAAGAUGGAGCCACUGCUUCUGCUGCAUCUUCCUCAUGAACUUCAAGUCACGGUGUUUCCUGAAACACAACAAAGCAACAUUACAUUUACACUCCUUUUCCAUUAUGACUGAAAAUAUUGUGAAAUACCUACAACACUGGAAAUAUCAUUUACCAAGUGUGCAUGUAACUACUUCAGUUGUAGUAUGAUAGUUAUUUACUAUUUGCUAGACAUCAAAACACUGUAAAUAGUGACAAAACUUAAAUGUUAAACAUUAAUUUGGAGAUAUAAUGAGGCUCAUAUUAACUCUCAAAGGUAUGGAGAACAUUAUGGAGUCUAAAAUGACAAACAUGGUAACAAAACAAAAUAUAACAUGCUGAUAACAAAA